GACGAACCGUGCGAACGUUGUCCGGAAUUAUUGGGCGUAAAGGGCUCGUAGGCGGUUUGUCGCGUCGGGAGUGAAAUCCACUGGCUUAACUGGUGGCUUGCUUUCGAUACGGGCAGACUGGAGGUAUGCAGGGGGAGAACGGAAUCCUGGUGUAGCGGUGAAAUGCGUAGAUAUCCGGAGGAACACCGGUGGCGAAGGCGGCUCCUGGACCGACACUGACGCCUGAGGCGCGAAAGCUAGGGGAGCAACGGG
rnacentral:rRNA from 1 species